UUGCCGGCAACCGGCGCACGGGUGAGUAACACGUAUGCAACCUGCCCGUCUCAGGGGGAUAAUCGUCGGAAACGGCGUCUAAUACCCCGUAUGAAGCUGGACGGCAUCGUCUGGUUUUGAAAGAAUAUCGGAGACGGAUGGGCAUGCGGCGCAUUAGCUAGUUGGCGGGGUAACGGCCCACCAAGGCGACGAUGCGUAGGGGUUCUGAGAGGAAGGUCCCCCACACUGGUACUGAGACACGGACCAGACUCCUACGGGAGGCAGCAG
rnacentral:rRNA from 1 species